rnacentral:rRNA from 1 species
GACGAAGGGGGCUAGCGUUGUUCGGAAUUACUGGGCGUAAAGCGCGUGUAGGCGGUUUGCCAAGUCGGGUGUGAAAGCCUUGAGCUCAACUCAAGAAAUGCACUCGGUACUGGCAGACUAGAGGACCGGAGAGGAUAGUGGAAUUCCCAGUGUAGUGGUGAAAUACGUAGAGAUUGGGAAGAACACCAGUGGCGAAGGAGGCUAUCUGGACGGUUUUUGACGCUAAGACGCGAAAGCGUGGGGAGCAAACAGG